AGAAAACAAGAAUUUAUAUUUUUUCUUCUAAUUUUUUUUUCUCUUAUUUUCAUUCAAUUCAAACAUGGCAUUAAUGCCAUGUGAGUGUGAGAUUGGAAGUAAGCCCGUAUAUUUUUUCUCUCCUUUCAGUUCUUCAUUUCUUCUUCUUCAUGAGCCAUUUUCUACUUCUUGGAGGCCUAUUUCUAUUCUUUCCAGACAAGAGGAGGCAUCUCCCAACUGGAUAGUGGGCUACCCUCUUCCAUUUGGAGUUCUUGUGGACCGCUCUCUGUGAGCACUUAAAGAUGGUGAUGCUUAGGGACAUUACCGCUCUCUGGCCCCAUGUUCAUUGUGAUAAGCUUUUUGUCCAAGUUUAAAGUUACAGUUUUUUCUCUGGAGGUCUCUUCUUGUGCUUUUGUAGCCUUGCAUGGUGCUGGUUAGGAGACUUCUCUGAUAUGCUUUCUUUGUCUUUAUUAGCUUCGCAUUAGGAGGUUCCAAGAGGUUCAAGGUUAAAGGAGAAGAGGUUAUCUUCUGUUUUCUAGAUCGUCUUCUUGGGUAGAAGCACCCGUUUAACUUGGGAUUUUCCUUCUGCUUGUGAGCCUUGACCAGGUCUUUUUAAGACUAAGUGGGUUGCUAUGGUCUUCGUGUUUUCAUGCUGGUUUGAGCUUUGCACUUCUCCAACAAUUCAAUGGAUAUUUAUCUCUUUGUUAAGUC